GCACCUCCCAGCGGGGUCCUGCUCUGAGACAACAUGCUGUGGGGCACAGAAAUUGGUGUGUUAGCCAAGGCUUUCAUCGACCAAGGGAAACUCAUCCCAGAGGAUGUCAUGACUCGGCUGGCCCUUCAUGAGCUGAAAAAUCUCACCCAGUAUAGCUGGCUGUUGGAUGGUUUUCCAAGGACAUUUCCACAGGCAGAAGCCCUAAAUAAAGUUCAUCAGAUAGACACAGUGAUUAACCUGAAUGUGCCCUUUGAGGUCAUUAAACAGAGUCUCACUGCUCGCUGGAUUCAUCCAGCCAGUGGCCGUGUCUACAACUUUGAAUUCAACCCUCCCAAAACUGUGGGCAUUGAUGAUGUGACUGGGGAGCCUCUGGUUCAGCGUGAGGAUGACCAACCAGAGACGGUUAUCAAGAGACUGAAGGCUUAUGAAGCCCAAACGAAGCCAGUCCUGGAAUAUUACCAGAAAAAAGGGGCGUUGGAAACAUUCUCCGGAACAGAAACCAACAAGAUUUGGCCCCACGUAUAUGCUUUCCUGCAAACUAAGGUUCCACAACAAACCAGAAAGCCUCAGUUACUCCAUGAGGAGAAAUGUGUAUAACUAGUAAGAUGAGCAAACCCUUCUUGUCCUUGCAUUUAGAAGCUUCUUUUCUUAAGACUCCAGCUUGUAUGAAUAUUCUUUUAAAAUUAUGUUACUUUUAUUUCUACUGAUUUUAUACUGGAUACUAAGUUGGUGCCAAAUGAGUCAGAUACUAAGAUUAAUUUUUUAAAAUAUCAUCUAAUGUUUUAUCUAGUUACCUACUAUGGGUGUGCAAUUCAAAAAUAUCAAAAAUGUCUAAAGUUUUAUAACAUCUGUUAGAGCAAAAUUAAAAGAACAAUUGGUAGUAAUAUAACCUUUUGUUCAGUAAGAAUAAAUGGAUGAUAAAAUUUCCAUAUUUUUCUGGAAAAGUUUAAAAAAUUACCUGUCAUUUGGGGAAAAUAUCUCUUCAAAAGUUUUUGCAUAGAUUGAUGCCAAAAAUGACAUUUCUGACAUGGUGGAACAUGGCUUCAUGAGAUACCGUAUCUAUAAAAUUCCAGAAAAAAAGCAACUGGAUUUACAGAUCUAUUGCAAGGUACAAAUAAGAAGUAUAUAAGGUAGGCAUGCUGUAUUUUGUUGUUAAACAUACCUUCAGUUUACUCAGAAUUUCAAUUUGCUAUAAAAAUGUAUAAAUUACCAUACAGGAAAAUAAUUACUUUAAGAUGACUUGUUUUCUUUUCAAAAUAUGUAUGUAUUGAGGGAUAUGAUUUAUGUCAGAAAUUGACCUUACAAAUUCUUAGAUAAGCACCAAAGUUGAAUGAAUUUUCAACAGAAAAUGUAAUUAAAGUCUUGUUUUUAGAUGUAACUCAGGUUAAGAAAUGCGUGUUUCAGGAUAUACUUGCCAGUUUUUCUCUUUGAUCCAAAUACGUUCUGCCUUGAUAAAUCUAAGAUACAGUGAAAGAAAAGGAAGGAAGGGAAGAAGAAAAGAAAAAAAAUAAAAGAGAAAACCCAUGGCACUAUGAGCAUACUUUAGGAAAGAGAAAGAGA